GGAGGGUCGCCAAGGUCGGCAAGGGACUCUCCAAGGACGACAAGGCGCAGAAGCUCGCGCUCCAGCACUGGCUCGAAGCUAUUGACCCGCGCCACCGCUACGGCCACAACCUGCAUCUCUACUACGACAUCUAGUGCGCGAACUCCAGCUGCGAGCCCUUCUUCUACUGGUUGGAUGUCGGCAAAGGCAGAUACUUGCAUCACCAGAAAUGCCCACGAAGCAAGCUCAACUCACAGCUCAUCAUGUACCUCGGACCAAACGAGAGGGCGGCGUACGAAGUCGUCGUAGAGGAAGGCCGGCUGAUGUACAAGCA